UACGUAGGGUCCGAGCGUUGUCCGGAAUUAUUGGGCGUAAAGGGCUCGUAGGCGGUCUGUUGCGUCGGGAGUGAAAACUUACAGCUUAACUGUGAGCGUGCCUUCGAUACGGGCAGACUUGAGGCAUUCAGGGGAGAACGGAAUUCCUGGUGUAGCGGUGAAAUGCGCAGAUAUCAGGAGGAACACCGGUGGCGAAGGCGGUUCUCUGGGAAUGUCCUGACGCUGAGGAGCGAAAGUGUGGGGAGCGAACAGG
rnacentral:rRNA from 1 species